UUGUGUAGGAUAGGUGGGAGACUGUGAAGCGGGCACGCCAGUGUUCGUGGAGUCGCCGUUGAAAUACCACUCUGGUCACUCUGGAUAUCUAACUUCGGCCCGUGAUCCGGGUCAGGGACAGUGCCUGAUGGGUAGUUUAACUGGGGCGGUUGCCUCCUAAAAUGUAACGGAGGCGCCCAAAGGUUCCCUCAGCCUGGUUGGCAAUCAGGUGUUGAGUGCAAGUGCACAAGGGAGCUUGACUGUGAGAGUGGCAGCUCGAGCAGGGACGAAAGUCGGGACUAGUGAUCCGGCGGCUCGUUGUGGAACGGCCGUCGCUCAACGGAUAAAAGGUACCUCGGGGAUAACAGGCUGAUCUUGCCCAAGAGUCCAUAUCGACGGCAUGGUUUGGCACCUCGAUGUCGGCUCGUCGCAUCCCGG
rnacentral:rRNA from 14 species